rnacentral:tRNA from 1 species
UGGCUCAGAGGUUAAAGCAUCUGCCUGCAAUGCAGGAGACCUGGGUUAGAUCCCUG